rnacentral:hammerhead_ribozyme from 1 species
GCACUGCUGAUGAGUCCCAAACAGGACGAAACAGCUGCUGUCCCGGUGC